GCGAAGGUGGCGAAAUAGGAAGACGCAUUAACUUCAGAGGUUAAUGUCUUGAGCAAGACUUAAGGGUUCAAAUCCCUUCCUUCGCA
rnacentral:tRNA from 1 species